CAAGUCGAACGGUAACAGGGAGCUUGCUCCGCUGACGAGUGGCGAACGGGUGAGUAAUGUAUCGGAACGUACCCAAGAGUGGGGGAUAACGUAGCGAAAGUUACGCUAAUACCGCAUACGAUCUACGGAUGAAAGCAGGGGACCUUCGGGCCUUGUGCUCCUGGAGCGGCCGAUAUCUGAUUAGCUAGUUGGUGAGGUAAAGGCUCACCAAGGCGACGAUCAGUAGCUGGUCUGAGAGGACGACCAGCCACACUGGGACUGAGACACGGCCCAGACUCCUACGGGAGGCAGCAGUGGGGAAUUUUGGACAAUGGGGGCAACCCUGAUCCAGCAAUGCCGCGUGAGUGAAGAAGGCCUUCGGGUUGUAAAGCUCUUUUGUCAGGGAAGAAACGGGUUUGGCUAAUAUCCAGAUCUAAUGACGGUACCUGAAGAAUAAGCACCGGCUAACUACGUGCCAGCAGCCGCGGUAAUACGUAGGGUGCAAGCGUUAAUCGGAAUUACUGGGCGUAAAGCGUGCGCAGGCGGUUUUGUAAGUCUGUUGUGAAAUCCCCGGGCUUAACCUGGGAAUGGCAAUGGAGACUGCAAGGCUAGAGUUUGGCAGAGGGGGGUAGAAUUCCACGUGUAGCAGUGAAAUGCGUAGAGAUGUGGAGGAACACCGAUGGCGAAGGCAGCCCCCUGGGUCAAAACUGACGCUCAUGCACGAAAGCGUGGGGAGCAAACAGGGAUUAGAUACCCUGGUAGUCCACGCCCUAAACGAUGUCUACUAGUUGUCGGGUCUUAAUUGACUUGGUAACGCA
rnacentral:rRNA from 1 species